GGGAAUGGAGCUUAGUUGUAGAGCACUUGCCUGGCAUGCACAAAGACCUGGGUUCAAUCCCCAGUACCA
rnacentral:tRNA from 1 species